rnacentral:rRNA from 1 species
GACGAACGCUGGCGGCGUGCCUAAUACAUGCAAGUCGAACGAAGCUGUUUUAACUGGUGCUUGCACCGACUUAAACAACUGAGUGGCGAACGGGUGAGUAACACGUGGGUAACCUGCCCCAAAGCGGGGGAUAACAUUUGGAAACAGAUGCUAAUACCGCAUAACCACAGAAACCACAUGGUUUCUGUGUCAAAGAUGGUUUCGGCUCUCACUUUGGGAUCGACCCGCGGCGUAUGAGCUAGUUGGUAAGGUAAUGGCUUACCAAGGCAAUGAUACGUAGACGAACUGAGAGGUUGAUCGGCCACAUUGGGACUGAGACACGGCCCAAACUCCUACGGGAAGCAGGAGUAGGGAAUCUUCCACAAUGGACGAAUGUCUGAUGGAGCAACGCCGCGUGAGUGAAGAAGGUUUUCGGAUCGUAAAACUCUGUUGUCAGAGAAGAACGUGUGCGAGAGUAACUGCUCGUGCAGUGACGGUAUCUGGCCAGAAAGCCACGGCUAACUACGUGCCAGCAGCCGCAGUAA